GUGUUUAUGUCUGUGUGUGUGUGUGUCAGUAUGUCUGUGUGUGUGUGUGUGUGUGUGUGUGUGUGUGUGUGUGUGUGUGUGUGUGUGUGUGUGUGUGUGUGUGUGUGUGUGUGUCAGUGUGUCUGUGUGUAUGCCAGUAUGUCUGUGUGUGUGUGUGUCAGUAUGUCUGUGUGUAUGCCAGUAUGUCUGUGUGUGUAUGCCAGUAUGUUUGUGUGUGUAUGCCAGUAUGUCUGUGUGUGUGUGUCAGUAUGUCUGUGUGUAUGCCAGUAUGUCUGUGUGUGUAUGCCAGUAUGUCUGUGUGUGUGUGUCAGUAUGUCUGUGUGUAUGCCAGUAUGUCUGUGUGUGUAUGCCAGUAUGGCUGUGUGAGUGUGUGUGUGUGUGUCAGUAUGUCUGUAUGUAUGCCAGUAUGUCUGUGUGUGUAUGUCAGUGUGUGUGUGUCAGUAUGUCUGUGUGUAUGCCAGUAUGUCUGUGUGUGUGUGUCAGUAUGUCUGUGUGUGUGUAUUUAGGUAUGUCUCUGUGUGUGUGUGUGUACGUGUGUGUCAGUAUGUCUGCCAGGAUAUAUUUGUGUGUCAGUGUAUGUGUGUGUCAGUAUGUAUCUGUGAAUGUUUUAAUGUCUGUCUGUGUGUAUGUGCCAGUCUGUCUGUGUGUGUGUCUGUGUGUGUGUGUCAGCAUGUCUUUGUGUGUCAGUAUGUCUGUGUGUGUAUGUAAGUAUGUCUGUGUGUGUAUGUGUGUGUCAGUCAGUAUGUCUGUCAGUGUAUGUGUCUGUGUGUGUAUGUAUGUAUGUCUGUGUGUGUGUGUGUCAGUAUGUCUGCCAGGAUAUAUUUGUAUGUCAGUGUAUGUGUGUGUCAGUAUAUAUCUGUGAAUGUUUUAAUGUCUGUCUGUAUCAGCCAUUACGUCUGUCUGUAUCAGCCAUUACGUCUGUCUGUGUAUAUGUCAGUAUGCCUGUGUGUGUGUGUCAAUGUGUCUGUCAGUGUAUGUGUCUGUGUGUUUUAGUAUAUCUGUCAGUGUAUGUGUUUGUGUGUGUGUCAGUAUAUCUGUUAAUGUAUGUGUCUGUGUAUGUAUGUAUGUAUGUAUGUCUGUGUGUGUGUCAGUAUGUCUGCCAGUAUAUAUUUGUGUGUAGUGACUGUGUGUGUCAGUAUGUAUCUGUGAAUGUUUUAAUGUCUGUCUGUGUGUGUAUGUGCCAGUACGUCUGUCAGUGUGAUUGCGGGUUGGACGUAAUUGGGGGGUGAGGCAGUGGCAGGGACAGGGCCCAUGGGGCCCAAGAAAAUGCAUUGCCCAGGGUCCUAAUCAUAUUAUAGACGGCCCUGACGCUGAGGACUGAAGGAGGGAGGAGCAUGUCUCUCUUUCAUGCUCCCUUGCGGUUCCCACAAUUCCCAGCACAGGAUGCAUGCGGCCCCCUCUGACUUCUGUCAGUAAAUGGGAGGGGGGAAAAUAAAACAGAGAGAGGGAAUAGAUAGACGUAGGGGAAGAGGGAAGAAAGAGACAGUGGGAGAAUAGAGAGACACGGGGAGGAGGGAGAAAGAGACACAGAGGGGGAAGAAUGAGACACAGGGGUAAGAGAGACUGGGAAGGAGAGGGGAGACAUGGGCACAGGAGCAGUGAGGGGGAGAAAUAAACAUACAGAGGGAUUGGGGGGAGACAAAAAGGCACACAGAGGGGCUGUAUAUAUCACUGGUGGAUCCAGGGGGGCAACGGGGCAAUUGCCCCCCCCUCCCCUGCUGGCCGUUCUCUCUCCCUGGUCCGCAGGCACCGUGCGGGCAGCCAGCAGGGGAGGGAGGAAGAGAGGACCCGGGAACUCAGCCUGCAGCUCCUCUGGGUCCUUCUUGCGCAAGCACAGAGCAUUGCUGCGGUUACCACAGGAACGUUACGGCUCUCGCGAGAGUCAACUCUAGCCCUGAAGCUACAGGCUAGACUUCACUCUCAACACUGUGACCACCAGGCAUUCCUGGUGGUCGCAGUGGUGAGAGUGAACUCUAGCCCCAUAAACACACUGCCCCCACACACACACCAUACACAUUCACACACUGCCCCCACACACACACCAUACACAUUCACACACUGCCCCCCAUACACACACACUGCCCCCACACAAACCAUACACAUUUACACACAUUGCCUCACACACACACAUACACUGCCCACCAAUACACACACAGACCCCCAUACACAACCCCCUCAUACAUACAUUGCCCCCCACACCCUACACAUUCACACACUACACCCCCCCACACACACUGCACCCCUCACACAUUGCACCACUGCUCCUAUACCCUACUACAGCCCCAUAUCCCAGCAGACCCCAGGUAAGUUGUCAAACUGUUCUUAAACGGUUUGACUACUUACUCUGGGAGGGGGUCCCAGCCCUCCUGGCACCAUAACCACUACACAGAACAGUAGUGGUUAUUGUGCAUGGAUUAUUUCUUAUGUCUGUGUGUGUAUGUAAGUAUGUCUGUGUGUGUGUCAGUCAGUAUGUCUGUCAGUGUAUGUGUCUGUGUGUGUAUGUAUGUAUGUCUGUGCUUCAGUAAGUGCUUCAGUAGCCAGCAAGCCAGCCAGCACACAGGCCGGCCAUCCAGCCAGCCCACAGGCCAGCCAGCCAGCCCACGGGCUGGCCAGUAGCCAGCCCACAGGCCACCAAUUAGCCCACAAGCCAGCCAGGCCAGUAGCCAGCCCACAGGCCUACAGCAAGCCACAGGCUUACAGCCAGCAAGCCCACAGCCUGCCAGUCGUAGCCAGCAAGUCACAGCCUGCCAGCCGCAGCCAGCAAGCCGCAGCCUGCCAGCCGCACCCAGCAAACCGCAGCCUGCCAGCUGCAGCCAGCAAGCCGCAGCCUGCCAGCCGCAGCCAGCAAGCCCACAGCCUGCCAGCCGCUGCCAGCAAGCCCACAGCCUGCUGGCAGUAGCCAGCAAGCCCACAGCCUGCCAGCAAGCCACAGCCUGCCAGCAAAUCACAGCCUGCCAGCCGCAGCCAGCAAGCCCACAGCCUUCCAGCAAGCCCACAGACUGCCAGCCAGCAACAGUAAUUAAGGUAAGAGGAGCCAACUUGGCCUAAGUAUCAGCGAGCUAUGUUGUGUUGCUAUAUUGUGAAUAGGAACCAGAGUGUUGGAGAGACCCCCCUCCAGGCCCCAUUAGACUCCAUUGUAUUCUCUAAUGGGGCCUGGAGGAGAUUCUUUCUAACACACUCUCUAAAGGACACUGAGAUAGCCUCUGCUAGAAUGACCCCCCUCCACUGCCUUUUAGCCCUCAAUUGUAGUCUCUACUGGGGCCUGGAGGCGACUGUUUCCAGCAGAGGCUAUCUAAUCGACGCUGAGAUGGCCUCUGUUAGAAAGACCCCCUUCCAAGCCCAUUAGCCCUCAAUUGUAGUCUCUACUGGGGCCUCGAAGGGAUUAUUGCACUUUUGUUCCUUGUGUCUAAAGAUUGUGUAGGGUGUGGCUGGAGGCGGGACAAGGGUGGCGCUUGCUGCGGAGCAUGGGUGGGGCCUGUAAGGGGGCCCUUGAUUUAUUUUGCCCGGGGGCCCUGAGGGUUCUCAGUCCGACCCUGGCUUCCAAUAUGGCUAUUUAGGCCUUAAAUUUGAAAUUUACUUUGAAUUCCAGACAAUUUUUACUUUAGUGAAUUACUCAAUACAAUGUCAUAAGGAAACACAGCAAAGAUUUUAGGAGUUGUAGGUCAUCAGCUUUCACAUGCCUUCCAAUUAUCCAGAUUUUUCCAGGUAGCUACAGACUUUCAUGUCCUGUCCUGCUGUCCAGACUUUGUCCCCUGGUUUUCAAUUUUUGUGGACACCAGGAACUAUCUACAAAAAGUAUAGUGCAAGUGCAUUAUUAUUAUUAUUCUACCUUCUCCAAUCCUUGACCUUGACCUGUCUCCGAUUUUCUGUAUUUUGUAUUAGAACUAUAUUCUUUGCUCCUUACUUUAAGCCCUGACACUGUAAGAUCCAGUAAUACACACUAUAUAUUUUAAUUAUUCCCUCUAGUUUGCGUUCUAGAGUAGGACCUUGACAAUAUGACAGGGCCUUUGAAACUUGGGGCAACCAAUAGCAUCAUGUGAGGCUAGGAUGGAGGAUUUGGUCAUAAUAUAAUUNNNNNNNNNNNNNNNNNNNNNNNNNNNNNNNNNNNNNNNNNNNNNNNNNNNNNNNNNNNNNNNNNNNNNNNNNNNNNNNNNNNNNNNNNNNNNNNNNNNNAGUGUCCCAUCAACCAAACUUUCAAACCUGAAAGGAAAUAAAAUUAGUUGCGAGGAGACAAAUGCCCCCCCCCCCUUUCCCAAUUUCCUACCCAACGCUUACUUACACCAGCCUGUCAGGCCUCACAUACGUGCGGAACCGCAUGGAUUCCCACCUCCCGAUCCGCUUAAUCCGCUCGUCCCCCAAACCAAGGCGUGCUGCCUCCGUCGCUGCGCCUAUGCGGAAUGAGUGCGUCCCAAAUUGCUUGGGCUCCAAGCCCAGCCUCUGUAAACCCGCUCGAAAAACCCGCAGAAAUUGGAAGCGGGACAGCGCCGUCCCAUCAGCAUGCAGGAAAAAACUACCAGCCAUCCCGGGACGGACAUCCAAGUACCGCGCCCCGCAAGCCACCGGGCACGCCCUUGAACCCGGUAACUCAUACAACACCACAGAGCACCCUUUACCAAACACGUCCGUUUUAGAGCGGCGCAACCUGAUCCGCACCCUGUCGUUACAUAAGUCCACGUCGUCGAGCAGCAAUCCGACGGCCCCUUUCCUGUUGGGGCUCACCAGCUCGCCAAUCCGGAAGGCUCCGAAGAACGCCCAUACAAACGCUCCCGAAAAUAGCGCCACCUCAAAAGGGGAAUGACACAACCCAGCCAACACUCCUAACAACCCUUGCAACACCGAGAACGACACCGGUCUUCUCGUGUCCCCAAACUUCUUACCCUUCCGAAAACCUCGUAUCGCCUGACGUAUCAUGAAAUUCUUAGUAAUGUCCUCCCACCCAUUGAACUUAAAUAAAAAGGCCAGGGCAGACAUAUACCUGUCCACCAUGGCCGGCGAAGCCUGUCUUGAGAACAGGCGACACAGCAACCAUAGCAGCACGUCCCCCCGCUGCUCCUCCGAAAAAACGCCUCCUACCUGUUGAACUGUCUCCUCCCAUUCCUUCCAAACCUUAACAUACGACGACCACGUGCUUGGCGCCAAUGAGUUCCUUAUGUACUCCCCAAGCAUGACGUCCCGAGCCGCCACAUCUCGUCCGGGCAUGCUUGCCCCAUCUCCUGGGCGUCUGGCGCCGCUUCCCGGAAUCGUUCCCACUGAAAACGAGAAAGCGUAUCAGCCACCACAUUCAACAUACCAGGGAUGUGCUUAGCCCUAAACACCACAUUGAAGGACAUGCAAAGAAGUACAAACCGCCGCAACAAACACAAGACCGGGGGGGAAGACGCAGACAAACUGUUUAUCGCCUGCACCACAGACAUGUUAUCCGAGUGGAACACGAUGUGCCUGUUUGCCAACGCCGGCCCCCAUAAGCCCAUCGCAACCACGACCGGAAAUAAUUCCAAAAACGCCAAAUUCCUUAUUAGCGGGCUUUCUUUCCACGCUGCAGGCCACUCCUCAGCGCACCAAUUACCCGCAAGAUAAGCCCCAAAACCGACACUGCCCGAAGCAUCAGUGUACAGCCCCACCUCUGUUGCCGCCGCCGGGUCCCUAAAGAACACCUUACCAUUAAAAUCCUGUAGGAACUGGUCCCACACCCUUAAGUCCGCCUUCAUAUCCGCUGAGACCCUAACGUAGUGCGAUGGCCAACGCACCCCACUUGUCGCACGUGCCAGUCGCCUGCAGAAAACCCUCCCCAUUGGUAUCACCCGGCACGCGAAGUUCAGGCUCCCCACCAAUGAUUGAAGCCCCCGCAGCGUCACCUUCUUAGCCCUCCCUACCGUGGCCACCCGCUCCCUCAGAUCCACUAGUUUGUCUGAAGGUAACCGACAUUCGCCUCUCACGGAAUCGAUUUCCAACCCCAAAAAACUAAGGCACGUUGUGGGCCCAACCGUCUUGUCUCCCGCCAAGGGAACCCCGAAAGAGUGUGCAACCCAGUGAAACACUUCCAGCACCUGUCUACACCGGCCCGUUCCCUGCGGGCCGACACAGAGGAAGUCGUCAAGAUAGUGCACCACCGCACCCCCUGCCGAUUCCUUCCGCACCACCCAUUCCAAAAACGUGCUAAAUUUCUCAAAAUAAGCGCACGAUAUGGAACAGCCCAUUGGUAAACACAGAUCCACGAAAUAACCCCCAUCAAGAUAGCACCCGAGCAAAUGAUGGCAUUUGGGGUGUAUAGGGAGCAGCCGAAAGGCUGCCUCCACAUCCACUUUCGCCAUCAGCGCCCCUCGCCCCAUUCUCCGGACCAACUCGACAGCCUUGUCGAAUGACGUAUAAGAGACGGAGAUGAGGGCCGCGUCAAUGUCAUCAUUUACCGACGCCCCUUUUGGGUACGAUAAAUGAUGUAUCAACCUGAACUUACCCGCUUCCUUCUUGGGAACCACGCCGAGUGGGGAUAUCCGUAGGUCCACCAACGGCGGCUCCAAGAAUGGGCCCGCCAUUCUCCCCAGCUGCACUUCCUUGCUCAACUUCUCCCGCGCUACCCCCGGGUGCUCCCGAACUGACUUGAGAUUACCACACAUCGUUCCCGGUCCCCUAACCACGAAGGGAAUAACAAACCCGAAAUCCCUGCCACAAAAAGGCCGCAUCCGCCCUAUUGGCGUACUGCCUUAGCCAAGGCAACAUCACGUCUACUUUCACUGGGGACGCCCCCAGCGGUAACAGCGGGGGGCGCUGCCCCUCCGGACCCCCCUCCCCCUCCCAGCUUACCUUUCUUGAAGCACCGGCUGGCGCCAUGCGCCCCCCCGCAGCCGGAACAUUCGUGUCUGAACCUGCAGGAAUUCCCCCACUUGCAGUGUCCCUCGUUGUACAUCCAGCAGAAGCCUUUCUUUUGCCCAGCCGACACAGCACCCCCUGCGGCCGUGCCGGCUGUCCCAAGAAAGCGCGCCGCCUUUUGAGCCAUCAUAAGGCGCAUCCAUAACGGCAGAUCCAUUUGAUCCCACCGCAUGCUCGUGUUCACCGCUAGCCGUUGUCGAAAUUGCUCGUCAUACCUCCACCACGCCAAUCCCCCGUAUGUUCGAUAUGCAUCGCCUAUCCCAUCCAAGUAGCAAAAAAGUUCAGAGCAACGCCCCGGGUUCUUUUCCCCUAUCACGCUAGCCAGAAUACAGAAAGCCCGUAGCCAAUUCCCAAAAGUUUUCGGUAUCUUGCGAUACCUCCGCCUUUUUUCCUCCUCCUCUUUCUUGGCGUCCUUUUUAUCCUCCUCUUUCAAGUCCAAGAAUUCCUCGAGGGGAAGAAGGGAAAAGAUUUCCACAAACUCACCUUUCCAAAUCUUAUCCUUUACCUCUGUUUUUAAGUGGCACCCCAGGGGGCCCGCAAAGGACACGUGCACGUUUUGCCGCGCCGCAUCCGGGACAUCGCUACCCCCUUCCGUGGGUUCCCCCCCACCAUCGGUCAACCCCGCCGACCCCGUCGCGUCGCCGGCCUCGCCUCCAUGUGUCCCCGCCGGUACCGCCCCCGCGUGCUCCACCGCCGCGUCCCGACUACCUUCCUGUGACCAUACCCGCCCGAAUUCCGAGGGGGACCCACCCUUGUCCGACCAAGCGUCUAAAAAUACUUUCAAAUCACUCAACAACUGUCCAGAGUGUCGUGCAUGUGUUGACUCACCGCUCAAGCCCCUGGCCGCAGCUGACCGCAGGGGCGUCGUCCUUCCGCCCACCAUUCCGGGAGCCGGAGUGUCGUGUUGUCGCCGACUCCCAUCCGCCUGGUCCCGCCUCGAGACCGUAGGGGUAUUGCUCCGUGACCUGCAGGGAGAAGAAAACCUGGGUAGUCUGUUCAGCGUAGGGUCUACCCGCCCUUCCUCCCCACGUUCCAGCUGCCUUGCAGAACGACUCCCCCUGUAAUCCGCUCCCCUUGAGUGAACUUGUACUCUCCUGUCUGGUGAAUCAGACGUGCUACGUCGACUCCUCUGCCUUCUAUCCCUAGACAGGGACCUCCCACAGCCUUCCCUGCAACAGGACCUAGCUGCGCUGCAUCUGCUCCGCACUGGUGACCUCUCCCCGCUUCCUCGACUCCCUGCUCUGCUCCUUGUGCUGCUGCGCCUGGCGCUCAUGCUGCGCCGUUCCGUUCUCCUCUCACUCCUUGCGUCCUCUCCGUCCAUAUACUGACCCUGGGAGCAGCCAGAAGGACCCUCCCGCCUGCUGCCACCACCCCUGUCACCUCCCUCUAGGGUGGGUCUACGUCUGUCUCCCACUGCUGUUGCGCCUGGCUUCCCUCUAGCCGUCCUUCCCGUUAAAGAAUCCUGUCCCUGGCUGAUCGCCGUGCGCCCUGAUCCAGCCGUCUCCUGCGCACUAAAGCCACCACCGACAUCCUCCCUCCUGACCCCUGCCUGGGCCGUCCCUGCGCUGACCUCGCCGCCCCAGCCUCCCCCAGACCCAUGGGGGGCUGCUCUUGUCUCCACACUCCCCCUAACCACAUUCUCCUGCCCCACAGCGGUGCCACUGGUGGCUGACUCACCGGGACGUUCCAGCUCUGUGAUCCCGCCCACGUGACCGUCCUCCGUCCUGGCCGCCGACCCGGCCGCCGAAUUGGCAGCCACCGCUCCAUCUCCCCUGCCUGCCGCCGACCCACGCGGCGUGCGUCGUCCAGCCGCCGGGUGCUUUACGGCCGUCCUCGCCAGACCGCAGCCGCGCCUGCCAGCCCGAGCCGUGCUCCUUCCCGGCUCCACGACCGGGACCUCUCCUGCCCCCGCGGACGUUCCUCCUCCCUCUGAAGGGCUUCUACGGCGUCUCGCCGCGGGCCCAGCACCCGGGCUCAGCCGCUGCGGCGGCCUCGUCCUCCUGGCCGGUCGUCGCGCCGGUACCGAUGCGGAAGGCCCGGCGGCCCCCAGCUGCUGAUGUAGCCAUUCGAGGCCACGGUCCCUCACGGCCGCCCGCACUCCCUCCAGAAGCUCCUCCAACGCCGCCAUCGACCUGCAGGGAAACAAAGAAAAAAGGAGGGAACCUCUCUGGCCUGCAACAAUCUACAGGUAAGAGAGGCUCCAGUUAAAAUGGCCCCUAUUCUAAUAUGGCCGCUCUAUAUAUCCCUACUCUCCACCCCCCAAAACAUCACUCCCAAAACCCUUCCCACAAACUUAAGCCCAUGCCCACUCCCUGGCUCUGUCAAGGCCCACUCCCCAUACUGCGUUGCUCCAUGGGCUACCAUAAUAUUUAUUAAUAAAGGCUAAUCAAACAAAUAAACAAUACUUAUACAUUUGAAAUAGGCUAGUAUAUGUUGCUACUAAAACUAAUCAUUGACUGAAUGGAAAGUAGGCUAAAUUAACAUAGUAAAACAGGCAUAGACACAUGAUACAGUUACCACUCCAUUGAUCAGCAGCUGAGAGUAAGAGAGAGAGGGUGUGUAUAGUGGGGAGAGGGGAGAGAGAGAGAGAAGGUGAAGAGAGGUAAUUCAAAGAGAGAGAGAGAAUGUGCUAUUCAAAGUGGUUUAAACAGGUUAGUCCCUCCUUCUGCUGGACACACCUCCCUUAGUCAAUCCCUUAGGAUGUAACAGAACCAGAGUGCCUCCUGGGUGAAGGGGGAUUGCAUUGGAAUGGAAUGGAGGAGGAGUUUGUCUGGUGAAAGGCCAUGUGCUUCACAGAGGACUCCAUUAUUGCCUAAGGGUAGAAUGGGGGCUUUAAUCCCUGUAUUAGAACACAAUAACACUUCAUUGGCAUACAGUUUGGCUGUUAAUCACAUCCCCCCACUUAUUACAUCUUCCAACAACAUUGAAUUAAUCUAGCAUACCAGGGCCAGCACAAGCUCAAUUAACAAAAAAUGGAAAGGUGGAUCAUAGGUAGAAUAGAUGUGAGACAAUCAAAUGAAGAACAAUGAAAUGCUAAAACUAUAUUGGGCCUACAGCGAAGAUGUAUGUGAUAAAAGCUGUAGUUAAAUUGUACACCUAGUGAAGGUGUUACAUAGAGGAGUUAUAACUGGUGAAAUGCGCAGUUAUAUUUUUUGCUGCGAACACCAAGUACUUCAAGUUUUAUUUUGCAACGAAAAAAAAACUGUCAAAAGUUUUUACAACUUCGAUACAAUAUAGGACAGUGUGUGUAAAUUUGAUUUUAAAAGCAUGUAUUUAAUCUGAAAACUUAAAAAAAGUGUUAGUAUCCUGCAAUUACGCAUUCCCUUUUAUUUUUGCUUUAUUGCAACUCAAAGGAACAUUCCAGUCACCUUAACAAUGUCAUGUCAAUUAAGUAGUUAUGGUGCAAGGAGGCCACAGGCUCUUUCUUACCUUAAGGGAUUAAACCAUUUUUAAAUGGCUGCCUCCAGCGCUGGAUCUACAGUUCUCCCAACAGAAACUAGCCCAUAUAACCCAAAAGAAAGGGAAGGGGGGCUUUUACUAAAGAGCCGGCAAGUAUUGUCUCUUUUUCUUACAUUUGGUCAAAAAACACCUGGGGCUUGAGCCUAAAAUAAUCUGGUAAUCCCUUUCUAAAGUUCCACUUCUGGACCCCAAACUCCAUCUCUGACCCUUCCCGAUUCCACUGCUUAAUAUGCCUCUUGGCACACAGUUACUUACAGACACACACAUAGAUAUACACACACAUAGAUAUACACACACAUGGAGACACAGACAGCCAGGCACAGAUGUGCACAAGUACACACAGGCAUAGACACACACACAGAAUGGUAUUGAUAAACACAUACAUUGACAGGCACAGAUAUGCACACAGGCAUACUCAGGCACAUCUUACAGUUAUAUGUAUUGUAGUUUAUCACAGCGCUCCACAGCAAUAAAACACAGAGUCAUGUCAAUUUUGUAUGUAAGUAUCACAGAGUUUCACUGUAAUAAACCUCAUAAUUGUUGGUAAAUUGUCUUUGGUAUCUCUAUAAGUGGAAGACUAGAAGAUAAAGUGGUACAGGGGCAGUAAACGGUAUUAGAAAUGCAUUUGCAGGCUGUUUGUCAAAAUGUGUGUGUAAAGGGUAUGUUUGUGGUAUAGCGUGUUUAUAAAUAGAUCUGUUUGUUUUGUGUUUGUUGUUUAGUACAGGUGAUACUCGAAAAAUUGAAAUAUCGUGCAAAAGUUCAUUAAUUUCAUUAAUGCAACGUAAAAGGGGAAAUUAAUAUAUGAGAUAGACGCAUUACAUGCAAAGCAACAUAGUUCAAGCCUUGUUUUUUCAUAAGUGCGAUUAUUAUGGCUUACAGCUCAUGAAAACCCCAAACCCACUCAGUAAAUUAGAAUAUUACAUGCAAUCAAUAAAACAAGGAGUGUACAUAGAACAAUAUUGGACCUCUGAACAGUAUAAGCAUGCAUAUGGAUCAGUACAUGCAGGGCCGUCUUUAACGCGGGGCAAACGGGGCAGCUGCCCCGGGCCCAGUUGCUCCUGGGGGCCCAGAGCAGCUGCUCUGUGGGCCCCGCGAUUUGCGCAGGCCCUGCGGUGCGGCUCCCGCACACUGAGGAGGCUCCCCGGGUGGCCCAUGCACUAAGGGCCACCCGGGGAGCAUGUGGCAGCAGGGACCCGGUCGGGCGCUGUGGCGCUUAAACAGCGCGACCGGUCCCCUCUUCCGGUUCUGCAGCCGGCUGGGAGGAAGUGUCGUCACUUCCUCCCACCGGAGAUAGCCGUGCGGGAGGAGGAAGGCAGGGAGGAGGGGAGUUCCAGAGGAGAACUCCCAUCUGCCUCAGCCUGCCACUGGACCAGGGAAACCACCCUCCAGGAAAAGGUAAGAACCUGGAGGGUGGCUAAAUGUAUGUCAGUAGGUCUGUCUGUGUGUUUAUGUCUGUGUGUGUGUGUGUCAGUAUGUCUGUGUGUGUGUGUGUGUGUGUGUGUGUGUGUGUGUGUGUGUGUGUGUGUGUGUGUGUGUGUGUGUGUGUGUGUGUGUGUCAGUGUGUCUGUGUGUAUGCCAGUAUGUCUGUGUGUGUGUGUGUCAGUAUGUCUGUGUGUAUGCCAGUAUGUCUGUGUGUGUAUGCCAGUAUGUUUGUGUGUGUAUGC
rnacentral:lncRNA from 1 species